rnacentral:rRNA from 1 species
UUGGAGGGCAAGUCUGGUGCCAGCAGCCGCGGUAAUUCCAGCUCCAAUAGCGUAUAUUGAAGUUGUUGCAGUUAAAAAGCUCGUAGUUGAAUUUCGGGAUCAAAUAAUCGGUCGUGCCUCCGGUACGUACUGGUUUUAUUGGUUCCUCCCUUCUGACGAACCAUGAUGUCAUUAAUUUGAUGUGGUGGAGAAUCAGGACUGUUACCUUGAAAAAAUUAGAGUGUUUAAAGCAGGCUAACGCUUGAAUACAUUAGCAUGGAAUAAUGAAAUAGGACGUUCGACCCUAUUUUGUUGGUUUCUAGGAUCGACGUAAUGAUUAAUAGGGAUAGUUGGGGGCAUUAGUAUUCAAUUGUCAGAGGCGAAAUUCUUGGAUUUAUUGAAGACUAACUACUGCGAAAGCAUUUGCCAAGGAUGUUUUCAUUAAUCAAGAACGAAAGUUAGGGGAUCGAAGACGAUCAGAUACCGUCGUAGUCUUAACCAUAAACUAUGCCGACUAGGGAUCGGAUGAUGUUAAUUUUUUAAUGACUCAUUCGGCGCCUUACGGGAAAC